rnacentral:rRNA from 1 species
AAGAUGCAAGCUCGAGCGGAAUGGUAUUAGGAGCUUGCUCUUAUGAAGUUAGGGGCGGGCGGGGGAAGUAACACGUGGGUAACCUGCCCAUAAGAGUGGGAUAACUCCGGGAAACCGGGGCUAAUACCGGAUAACAUUUUGAACCGCAUGGUUCAAAAUUGAAAGGCGGCUUCGGCUGUCACUUAUGGAUGGACCCGCGUCGCAUUAGCUAGUUGGUGAGGUAACGGCUCACCAAGGCAACGAUGCGUAGCCGACCUGAGAGGGUGAUCGGCCACACUGGGACUGAGACACGGCCCAGACUCCUACGGGAGGCAGCAGUAGGGAAUCUUCCGCAAUGGACGAAAGUCUGACGGAGCAACGCCGCGUGAGUGAUGAAGGCUUUCGGGUCGUAAAACUCUGUUGUUAGGGAAGAACAAGUGCUAUUUGAAUAAGCUGGCACCUUGACGGUACCUAACCAGAAAGCCACGGCUAACUACGUGCCAGCAGCCGCGGUAAUACGUAGGUGGCAAGCGUUAUCCGGAAUUAUUGGGCGUAAAGCGCGCGCAGGUGGUUUCUUAAGUCUGAUGUGAAAGCCCACGGCUCAACCGUGGAGGGUCAUUGGAAACUGGGAGACUUGAGUGCAGAAGAGGAAAGUGGAAUUCCAUGUGUAGCGGUGAAAUGCGUAGAGAUAUGGAGGAACACCAGUGGCGAAGGCGACUUUCUGGUCUGU